rfam:Nicotiana sylvestris Nsyl_contig94284, whole genome shotgun sequence.
CAGUAACUCAGGUAUUGGCCUGGUUCACUCAGACAACAAGAUGAAACUAUUUGAAUAUUGAAUGGUGGAGUUUUGGUUUGAUUGAGCCGUGCCAAUAUCUCAGUUUCUCUU